UUUCCUUCAGGAUAGCUUGUGCUUUCGUGGGCACCUAGUUUUAUUCAAUAAAAUGAGUGAUUGGAGACUUUGGGGACUAAAUGAUCUCAACUUUUUCUCAGCCUUUACAUGGGUGAGAAGCCCAGCCAGUAUCUCGUGGGCCACUUUUGGUCGGCAGAACUGCAGGAUGAACAG
rnacentral:ncRNA from 1 species